AGGACUUUUAGCAUGAGAAAGUCUGGGAAAAAAAUGUAGAAUUUUUAAGAGGUCUUGCCCUCACAUGCACGUAAUGGGUUGAAAAGAACUUUUGGAUUAUCAGAUCUAUAUGUCUUGGAUCCCUGUUUCUUUGAAAUGCGUACAUAUAGGAUUAAGGACCCAAAUCAAUCUUCCGCUUUUGAUCGUUAAAUUCCUCAAACGGACUGAUUUUAUAACUACUGUCCUCCUGCAAUUGAGACAUUAUCAAGAGGUUUGUUUCAAGAGGUAAUCGUAACAAAUACCAUUCCGGUGUUGGAGCAAAACUAUUUUCAUCAGCAAACAGAAUUGUCAGUUGCAAACCUCCUGGGGGAGAUGACUGCUACGUAAGUAGCAUACUUCACAAAAAUUAUUUGAAAAGAACUAGCCAGAAAUUUGAAUUUCGAAAAGUCUGAUGCUACUUUAGACAGUACCCAAAUUACCAACCAAAAAAGAAAGGAAGAAAAGCAAAGAAGACGGCGGCAAGAAACCUGUAUGCCUUUCCAUAUCAGUUACAAGAUUUUCUCAUUGCUUUGUACUCUGCCGUGUUGUUUCCUAACCGGGGGUGGCUUUGAACCGACUGACGAUUUACACCGGUUGUUGUGUACGUUUCCCAGCUUCCAUUUCUGUCACUGGCUGCCUUGUUGUAUAAUGGAAAUGAUAGUAAAACCAAAAUGUAUUUUCUUUUCAGCUUGUUUUCAAAGCUUUGUACAGUUAGAGGCUUACGGAUAGAUUCUUUCCAUUAGGUUGAAUGUUAAGUUUUUUGCAGGCCUUCAUAGCUUC